rnacentral:rRNA from 1 species
UGGCUUGACAUGGAGGGAAAAGCCGUAGAGAUACGGUGUCCUUUCGGGGCCCUCCACAGGUGGUGCAUGGCUGUCGUCAGCUCGUGUCGUGAGAUGUUGGGGUUAAGUCCCGCAACGAGCGCAACCCUUGCCCUAUUGUUGCCAGCGGAUCAUGCCGGGGAGUUCGUAGGGGACUGCCGGAGUUAAUUCGGAGGAAGGUGGGGACGACGUCAAGUCAUCAUGCCCCCUUACGUCCAGGGCUGCUAAGCAUAUU